rnacentral:rRNA from 1 species
CCCUUAGAUGUUCUGGGCCGCACGCGCGCUACACUGAUGCAUUCAACGAGCCUAUCCUUGACCGACAGGUCCGGGUAAUCUUUGAAUCUGCAUCGUGACGGGGAUAGAUUAUUGCAAUUAUUAAUCUUCAACGAGGAAUGCCUAGUAGGCGCAAGUCAUCAGCUUGCGUCGAUUACGUCCCUGCCCUUUGUACACACCGUCCGUCGCUCCUACCGAUUGGGUGUGCUGGUGAAAUGUUCGGAUCGGCCGUUUGUCGCGGUUUCCGCGUCAUGUGGCUGAGAAGUUCAUUAAACCCUCCCACCUAGAGGAAGGAGAAGUCGUAACA